AGAUUGAACGCUAGCGGGAUGCUUUACACAUGCAAGUCGAACGGCAGCGCGGACUUCGGUCUGGCGGCGAGUGGCGAACGGGUGAGUAAUAUAUCGGAACGUGCCCAGUAGCGGGGGAUAACUACGCGAAAGCGUGGCUAAUACCGCAUACGCCCGUACGGGGGAAAGGGGGGAUUCUUCGGAACCUCUCACUAUUGGAGCGGCCGAUAUCAGAUUAGCUAGUUGGUGAGGUAAAGGCUACACCAAGGCGACGAUCUGUAGCUGGUUUGAGAGGACGACCAGCCACACUGGGACUGAGACACGGCCCAGACUCCGUACGGGA
rnacentral:rRNA from 1 species